UCUUAUCAAGAGAGGCGGAGGGACUGACCCUAAGAAGCCUCAGCAACCAGCAAUUGAUUGCACGGUGCUAAUUUCAGAAGAAUACAUUUGUAUUCUAAAGAUGAG
rnacentral:ncRNA from 1 species